rnacentral:lncRNA from 1 species
AGCGGGGUUAAGUAGAAUCAACCUCCAUCAAUUGUGUGUACAGAAAAGUUAGAGAAUAAAAACUUCUUCACUGGACACUUCUUCUUAAUGGGCAACAAAGGCUAAGCAGGAUAAGAUUAUAGUUGAUCAAGAACAAUGAGUUAAAAGUUGAUCGAGUAACAUAAGUUAACUUAGUUGGUGACAUGAUAUCGAUACAUUAUUAAUGGCAUAUUGAGAGUCAACUCACUUCUAG